CACUCACCUCCCCUGCUCCCCAGAGUUGUGUGGUCUUUGAAGUUGCCAGGAUGAAUCAGAUUGGUGGUCAGAGUCAGACUGGGAAUGGUAGGGAGGUGCUGCACACUCACCUCCCCUGCUCCCCAGAGUUGGUGGAUCAAUCAGAUUGGUAGCCCGAAGACUUGCCAGGGUCAGUCAGGUGGUGGGUGGUCUCAAUACUCGCCAGGGUCGUUGCCAGGGUCAGUCAGUCAGUCAGGUGGUGGGUGGUCUUAAUACUCGCCAGGGUCGUUGCCAGGGUCAGUCAGUCAGUCAGGUGGUGGGUGGUCUCAAUACUCGCCAGGGGUCGUUGCCAGGGUCAGUCAGUCAGUCAGGUGGUGGGUGGUCUUAAUACUCGCCAGGGUCGUUGCCAGGGUCAGUCAGUCAGUCAGUCAGGUGGUGGGUGGUCUUAAUACUCGCCAGGGUCGUUGCCAGGGUCAGUCAGGUGGUGGUGGGUGGUCUCAAUACUCGCCAGGGUCGUUGCCAGGGUCAGUCAGGUUGGGGAGAGAAGGGCGGUGCU